CCCACAAGGCCUUUACUGACGCUAAAGCUCGAAGGUGCGGGUAUCGAACAGGAUUAGAUACCCUGGUAGUCCGCACGGUAAACGAUGGAUGCCCGCUGUUCGCGAUAUACUGUGAGCGGCCAAGAGAAAUCGUUAAGCAUCCCACCUGGGGAGUACGCCGGCAACGGUGAAACUCAAAGGAAUUGACGGGGGCCCGCACAAGCGGAGGAACAUGUGGUUUAAUUCGAUGAUACGCGAGGAACCUUACCCGGGCUUGAACUGCAGAGGAAUGCGGUGGAGACACCAAAGCCCUUCGGGGCCUCUGUGGAGGUGCUGCAUGGUUGUCGUCAGCUCGUGCCGUGAGGUGUCGGCUUAAGUGCCAUAACGAGCGCAACCCUUUCCGUUAGUUGCCAUCAGGUAGAGCUGGGCACUCUGGCGGUACUGCCACCGUAAGGUGUGAGGAAGGUGGGGAUGACGUCAAAUCAGCACGGCCCUUACGUCCGGGGCUACACACGUGUUACAAUGGGGAGUACAGAGAGUCGGGUGCCGGCAACGUCACCCCAAUCAUUAAAGCUCUCCUCAGUUCGGAUUGGGGUCUGCAACCCGACCCCAUGAAGCUGGA
rnacentral:rRNA from 1 species